rnacentral:rRNA from 1 species
UACGUAGGGGGCAAGCGUUGUUCGGAAUUACUGGGCGUAAAGGGCGCGUAGGCGGCACGGCAAGUCAGGCGUGAAAGGCCUGGGCUCAACCGAGGAACUGCUUUUGAGACUGCCGAGCUAGAGUGCAGAAGGGGCAACUGGAAUUCCCAGUGUAGCGGUGAAAUGCGUAGAUAUUGGGAAGAACACCUGAGGCGAAGGCGGGUUGCUGGGCUGACACUGACGCUGAGGCGCGAAAGCCAGGGGAGCAAACGGG